AAAAGUUGAUUUAGAGGAUUUCUAACGCACGCAUAAUCUGGAAUGAAUUUGUUGUAAACAUUAAUGGCGCCUAGGAAAAAUAACUUAUCUUAUUUGGUGCUUUAGUUGGAUGGCUGGAAAAUUUCUUCCACUAAAAUCUUGAAAAACUACAUUUUUGGACUAAUUUCUCAGGAGCUCUGUUCGAACUCCCCACUGCUAAAUUUGGAUUCACUUCAUUUGCUUUUUUACAAUUAAGGCAAUUCGCUGCCCUCUGGCAGUCCUUUGAUAGGUGUCCAUGAGCACCACAUCUAGCGCAAUUAUGGCCUUCAGCAAUACAAGUCUUUGUCUUGUGAAAUCCAAGGCAUUUUGCGUAUCGAUUUACCAAAAAAAUUUCAAACCACUUCAAAACCCUCCACCCAAAUUUGAGGCGAAAAAUGCCAUUUUCAAGAGUAGAUUGAAUUUUUAAUUUUUUAAAUGAUAAAGAAUCAAUUGAUGCCAAAUAAUCUAUUUUAUUAUAUAUAUACACUUGGUUCUUUUUUUAUGCGGUAGAUGCGUUCCAGGGGAAUCCGCAUAAAAAAAAAUCGCACAAAAAAAGACAUACAUUUAUAUGUAAAAUGAUGGAUACGUUCCAUUUAUUAAAAAAAUCGCAUAAAACCUAAAUAAUGUUUUAAAAUGCACCAGAAAUCGCAUAAAAAAGAUUUAUAAAUAAUAAGAUUUAAUUUUUUUCUCAUCAUAUUUUAAUAAAUGGCACAUAUGUGUGUUAAUAACAAAAACAAAACUUAAUAUGUAAAAAAAACAUAAACAAAACUUUUAUUUAAAAUCAUAUUAAGAAUGUUUUCAUCAUUAUUCGCUGUCUGAUAAUGUGCGAACCCGUUUGUGGAUUGGUGCAAGAUCACUUUCAUCACUUGAAGAUAAAAUUACGUCAUCAGAUCUACAUGGUAAUGCUUCUUUAGGAACUUCAGUGAUUUUUUUUCUUUGACAAGGUAGUCAGUAAUCAAACGCUGUGAUGGCUUGACUAGUUCUUUGUAGAGUUCUCUGUAGCCAGACAUACAAAAUUUCAGAUCACGUUGGAAUUUUAAGGCGCGUUCUACAUCAUUAUCAUUUUGAAUAAAAAAAAAUUCCAAUUUACCGGAAAGUUGAAGGCCUUCCCGAAGUAAUUUUUCGUCCAGUGGAGUAACAUCUUCCAGUUCGCUAUCUACACUGUUUCGAAAUCUUUAGUAGUAUCUACCAUACUUUCCAAAAUAUCAUCAUCAUUUAGGGCUUCGUCCACAAGCAAUUCUUCUAUAUCAUGCUCGCCAAAAUCAUCAAAACCUUCCCCACCUAUUUCCUUAGCAAUUGAAAUAAUAUCUGAUGUUACUAUUGUUGUUCAAUUUGAUUCAUUUCUCUUUGAUACGCAUUCAGGCCAAGCAGCUUUCCAACAUGCAUUUAAAAUUUGUGAUUUUAUCUCGGCAAUUGCUAACGCAACAUGAUCUACACAGUUCAAGAUAUUAAAUUGUUUCCAAACUUCAGUAACUGUUAUUGUAUCGGAUUCCAGUUUAUCGAAAAUGAAUUGGAAAGUGAAUUUUACAUAUUAUUUUUUAAAUGUUGAAAUAAUUCCCUGAUCUAAUGGUUGAAUUAGGCUCGUUGUGUUUGGAGGGAAAAAAACUACCUUUAUAUUUGGAUGUUCUAAGUUUGGAUGACCUGGUGCAUUGUCAAGAAUUAAUAAGAUCUUAAAUUCGAGACCCAUCUCUUUCAUAUAAUUUUCUACUUCGGGUACGAAGCAUUUAUUGAACCAUUCAGUGAAAAUAGCCGUUGUUACCCAGGCCUUCUUGUUUGCCAUCCAAUGUACGGGCAGUGUAUUUAAGUCUUUUCCUUUUAAUGCACGUGGUUUUAAAGAUCGAUUUACAAGCAGUGGUUUUAACAUUCGAUCGCCAGAUGCAUUGCUGCACAGCAAUAAAGUAACUCGAUCUUUAGCAGCUUUAAAACCACUGGCAUUUUUUUCGGACUUUGCAAUGUAAGUACGGGUUGGCAUUUUUUUCCAAAACAAUCCUGUUUCUUCAGCAUUGAAGAUUUGAUGGGCACAAUAUCCUCCAUCUUUAAUAAUUUUAGCCAACUUUUCAGGAUUUUUUCUAGCAGCUUCUUCAUCUGCAGAAGCCACCUCACCUUUUAUUUUUAGAUUAUGAAAAGAAUGUCUUUUUAUAAAACCAGUUAACCACCCUGUGCUGGCAGAGAAUUGUGGAUUACUUUCACGUGAAGAUGUAGAUGGCUCUGAUUCUUUUAACUCCUUGUAAAAUUUAAGGGCUUUCAUCUUGAUUAAAUGUCCAUCUAACGGAAUUCUUUUUUGAGUUAAAUCUUCAAUCCAAAUUACGAGAGCCUUUUCUGUUUUUUCUAUUAAAGUGCCUCUUGAAUAUGAUGAAAUUUUAGAACUCAAAUUUGUACCAGAUCUGACUGAUCUUCUUAUUGCCGCAUCAUUUUUUUUAUUGCUCUUAUAGUAGAUUCGCCUAAAUUAUAACGUUUACCUAUUGCUGUUGAUCUUUCUCCUUUCGCCAAGCAAUCGAGAAUUAUAAUUUUGGUUUCUAGCGAAAUUGCACUUCUUUUUUGUUUUUUAUUAUUGUCACACAUUUUCUUUAAGAGGACUAAAAAUUAUAGAAAAAAUUUAAUGUACAAUUACGCACUAAAAUUAUUAAAAAAACUUACUAUUCACUUGAGUAAAUUUAUCUUCCGGUUUUCGGUAGUAACCUUCUUUCACAAAGUUUUAUUUUCUAAUGCUUUCCAAUAUGCAGGCUUUUUCAAUUAGUUUCAUACAAAAACAAAAUGCAGCAUAAAAACACGCAAUUUUAACGAGGUAUUUUUGUUUUUGUCCCUUUUGUUUUUAAGAACAAAUCAAGAGAAAACAUGUCAAUAAAAGAAAAAAGAAAUUUGUAACGGCAGCUGGCACGCCGGCGGGUUUUCAGUUUUGAUUUCGGUUUUGCACGAGUUGUGUAAGACACCGGCAGGCGCGGAAUAAAAGACAUUGGAACUUCCCCUCUACUGUUUGUUGGAUAACUUAACAUACAACCAGGACGUUACAAAAUUCUUUCUUUGUAUUGAUUGCGUAAUAGUAGAGUUGUAGUUGUUAUUCUUAUUCGUUUUCAGAAAAAGUGAAUCACCAAAAAAAAAAUUUUAGAAAUUCGAAUAAAUUUUUUUUUCUUGCACCGCAUAACUCCAAAACCGCAUAAAAAAAAACCGCAUAAAAAGAGAACGAAGUGUAUAUAUAUUUUUGCGCUAAAAAGAUUUAUUUCAAUAUUUUCAUGUUUUAAACUUGAUGAAUGACUUGAAUGAAAUUAUUGAGGGUGUCCGCAAGGUUCUUCACCUCCCCAACUAGGCACUUGAUCAUCUCUGUCCGCUGCUCAAUGAAGCAGGCAAGGUUCAGAUGAAGGGAUUUGAGGGAAAGCUGCCAGAGGGAGUGCAGGAUCUGGUAGUGGUGGGAGAUACCAUGUCCUCCUCCACCAGAGGUGCAAUGUCCACCGAGGGUUGAAAAGGCUUGGAGGGAUCCAUGAUGGGAGAGCAGAAAGGCAGAGGUGUUUCCAGAGCAUGAGCUAGCUGGAAACUGAUCUCUGAGAAACGGAUGAGAUGAUCUGAUUAUACAAGGUCAUGGAGACUGAAAAUUCAUGGAUUAAAUUUAUAAUCUUGGUAGGGUUGUAAUAUAAGUCCUGUCUUGAGGCUCCCAUACAUUCCAAGAGGUGGUCCUGCAGAUGGUGCAUUGUGGGAAGACACCAACCUGGAAAAGGAGCGAUUCUUUCUAUUCCGGGUUAAUUGGCCUUUUAAAGCAUGGUCUUCAAACCCCUAUGGCAGAACGCCAUUUCCAGUUGCAAGGGACCCUAGGAUCUGGCAGCAAAGAUGUCUCGCAGGGGUGGAGGAAACGUAGAGAUGGCAGGGGAACAGCGUCUGGGAGCAGUGAGUGGCAGGAGUCUUGGCUGGGGAGGAAAUCCAGUAGGUGAGGACAGUGAAGGCAGCAGGUCCUGGAAGCUUAGAAUUUGAGAGCCCUAGACCUCAGGAAAGAGCAGCCAGAGGCUCUCGCCUCUUGUUUGUCCGGAAGGCCCUUGGCACAGCAGUUGGCACACUUGGUGGUGUGCUGGUUGGCUAGGGAUGGACAGGCACGGCCCUCGUGACCUUCUUCACCGCAGUGGAAGCACUUUGGAGCCCUGGAGCAUUGUCCGGAGUUGUGACCAAAAUAACAAUAUUGUCAUCAAAGUUCUGUUUUAGAUUAUUGAGUUUGAAAGCCAAAUUUCCUUAAUUACUUAUGUUGGCCUCAAGGUCUACAUUUGUAUCAAAUUUAUGUGUCAAAUUCUUGUAACAGCUUAAUUGUUCAUCAUCUCUUUCAAAUAUUCUGCAUAUGGCGUCAUACAUUGAUUUGGCAUUUUCAAAAUGUAUUAUGUGCUGCUCAUCCAGCCUUCAGCGCCUGGAGCACGAGGCGUACUCAAGACGCCUGGUCAGCAGUCUUGAAUUUGGACGUAUUCACCUCCGGGCCUUCCAUCGCCCAAAGGUCAUUAGCGGUUGCCGCCCAGGUGUUAGGGACGGCAGCACCUCGAAAAAUGAAAUUCCGCCUCUAGAAUCCUGCUUAAUGUGAGGUCGUCGACUGUGGGAGCGUUGUCGAGCCCACCCUGCUCGGGAAUUCCGAGCACUUGCUCUAUAUCUAGUGGUGAGAGGUGAGAAAGUUCGCCUGGCAUACACACAUCCUGUGGUGAUCCGAGAACAUGCAUCAAAUCGUCCGCUGAAAGUUCUUCCAUACAGAUAUCUCCCGAUGGUCCGAGAUAUUGUUCCAAUUAAUUGAGCGCACUUGCCUCCAAGCGUAGACACCUAAAAAAAAAAAAUAAUAAAUAUAUAUAUCAGGUUAAUUCCAUUCCAAAUGAAAAAAACAUUAGCGUAUUGGUUAACUCCAUUGCUCUAAUGUUUUUUUUUUUUUUUUUUUGUUUUGCUAGGUUCAAAUCUCAUUACCCGGUCCCAGCUCAUAAAAACUUUAUGAUCUUCUUCAGUAUAAUUAGGAUUCUUUCUUCUGUCAAUAAAUUUAAUUUGAAAUAAUGAAAAUUUCUUCAGCCAUUUUAAAUUUUGCCCAAAAGUUUCAAGAUUGAGAUGUUUUUUGAUGAAGUCAUUAAACAAAAAGGUUUUCUUCUGUUUCUUGGUUGUGUACAUGUGUCACAUUUGUGUGAGAACCUGGUAGGCGUGUGGUGUCAGAUGGGCUUACCACCAGAGCAUCGUGUUUGUGUCACGUGUUACACAGUGUGCAUCAGCGACCUGGUUGUUAUUACCAGGAGGUAAACAAACCUGGUCACGUGACAACGUGUGCAGAAACAUGCGCAAUAGGAUGGCCAAACUCGUCGAGACGAGUGGCAGAACAAGGACGCAUGUCACGUGACCAAACAGACAUGGGUGCAAUAACCUGGUCGAUCGCCGGGCCGCGUGGCUCGCCGCUGGUCCCCGAGUCAUGUGACCGCGCAGGCGUGAUUUCCGCUGUGUCAAGUACGAGACUUGGCAACGUGGAAAUCCCACCAGAAGCACUGUCCCGCGAACAGGGCCCAGCAGAAGUGCCAGGCCAAGAAAUUGGUGAAAUAAUUGCCUGCAUUUAAAAAUAUAUAAUAAAUAAUCAAAAUUGAUUUCUCCUCUUUAAUUUCUUUUAUUUUAUGCAGGGCUUUUCUGAACCGGGCUUUGCUUGAUUUGAAAUAAGUUGUGGACUUACCAACUUUAUGUCCUUUUACCCGGUCCCAGCUCAUAAAAACUUUAUGAUCUUCUUUAGUAUAGGUAGUAUUUUUUCUUGUGUCAAUAUAUUUAACUUGAAAUAUUAUAUUUUUCUUCAGCCAUUUCAAUUUUUUCCCAAAAUUUCCAAGAUUAAGAUGUUUUCUUAGGAAAUCAUUAUACAAUAAUGUCGGAAGAAAACGGCUCCUGGGCCGCUGGCUGAGUCGAGUGUUCUGGCUCCUCCAGGGCCGCGGUGUCGCUUCCUGGUGUCUUCUUGCUCCUCGUAGAUGGUGCGCUCUUUUGGGCCAGUUUUUCAACCGUAGAGCAAUCCUGGUGGUGUUUCUGCAGGUCUUUGAAGCUUUGUUGGCAGACCGUGCAGUCAAAAACCACGUUGUUGAUCUUGUGUAGAACACGAAGGUGCUUCACCAGAUCGUUGUGCUGCUUGUAGACACCACUGCGGGUUACUCUCGCCAUCCCGUAACACUCGGGACAUUUAAAGACCUCAGGUAGCUGGAACGGCAUCCUAAACGGAUCACAAAGAGCAGGGGCAAGGUUGUGUACAUGUGUCACAUUUGUGUGAGAACCUGGUAGGCGUGUGGUGUCAGAUGGGCUUACCACCAGAGCAUCGUGUUUGUGUCACGUGUUACACAGUGUGCAUCAGCGACCUGGUUGUUAUUACCAGGAGGUAAACAAACCUGGUCACGUGACAACGUGUGCAGAAACAUGCGCAAUAGGAUGGCCAAACUCGUCGUGGUCGUGGGUGAGUGAUGGGAUUCCCGCACGGGGACAGCAAGGAAAAGAGGCAGGUCUAGAUGGUAGCUCCAAGAGGUAGAGAUAGACCACGGACGAAGGCAGUCGGACCAUGGGCGCCGCGGAUGCCCUAAGCCUACUCGCGGAUAGAAGGGGUGAGAGAUCCGACCGACCGUAUAACGGCGUCACUCUUACUGUAUAUAUAUAGACAUUAGAUGUUUUAUGCAAACUUACCAACUCCUUACAUUCUAUCUACAACACGAUAUAAUAUAAAAUCUGUAAUCGAAAUUGAUUCCACCUUUUUAACUUGUUUGAUGCUAUUAAUAGCUAUUCGGAACCGCGCUUUGCUGGCCGCGAAAGAAGCUGUAGACUCAUCAACUUCACGUCCUUUAGCACGGUCCCACUCCAAAAAAACUAUAUGGUCUUCUUUUGUACAUUUAUUUUUUCUUGCAUCCACCCAUUUUAUUUUGAAUAUGUUGUUACUUAUCCACUUUAAAUUUUCUUGGAAAGUCCCGUUAUUUAGGUGUUUCUUUAGAAAAUCAUUGUAUAACAAUGGUUUCGGGCCUAUUCUGGGAGGAGGAGCGUAGGAUGCUCUUUGUAGCAUCUAUAUGUGUUCUUUGUGACUUACAUAUCUUGGUUUUGUGGUGUGUCGAUUUAUUAGUCCAGCGAUGGCUCAGAAAGUCUUUCAGAGUUGCUAUUUCAUCAGUGGUGUUAUAUUGCUCUAGAUCAUGAUUAGGAGAUUUAAAUUGUCUGCGGAAUUUCUGUGAAAGCAAGGGUAAAUUAAUUAUCUUGUAUAUGAGAACCUCUCCCUUCAUUUUCUCAGCCCUUGCAAUCUUUACCAUUAUGAUUCUAUUUGUCUCUCCUGUCCUUAUAAUAGUAUAAAUGUUCUGGCAUAAGCGAUAUGAUAUUCCCACCACCCUUGUCUAUAAUAAUACGAUUAUAAAAGAUGACGAUUAAUAUAUAGAGAUAAUAGUUCCUCCAAGGAUAGGUUCAGGUUAUAUAGUUUAUAAUUUCUUGGAGGAACAUUUGUUCUGCGGAGCCGGGCUUGCAGGGUGGCGUCAUCUUGCGGUCCCUCGCUCGUCCGCUCGAGUUGCUGGAUGAAGUUGCUUGCUGCGUAGGAUCCGUCGAAAGGAAAGAUGAGGGCUUCCUCCGUACGAGGCACUCCUAUUCCCCGAAUGGCGUCUGUUAGGCGGCUUACUAGGUCUUCGCAGUGGGGUUGCAUGUUGGUGAGGGCAUCCCCGAAGUAUUCGUCUCUGACCUCCGUCAUCCUCUGCAUGUUGUUGUCCUCAGUUAUCCUGUCGACUUAAACGGGUUCUGUAGUAACCCCGACCAAGCCGACGUGGAAUGUACUGGGCAGUCGUGGUCGUGGGAGCGUGAUGGGAUUACCGCACGGGGACAGCAAGGAAAAGAGGAAGGUCUAGAUGGUAGCUCCAAGAGGUAGAGAUAGACCACGGACGAAGGCAGUCGGACCACGGGCGCCGCGGAUGCCCUAAGCCUACUCGCGGAUAGAAGGGGUGAGAGAUCCGACCGACCGUAUAACGGCGUCACUCUUACUGUAUAUAUAUAGACAUUAGAUGUUUUAUGCAAACUUACCAACUCCUUACAUUCUAUCUACAACACGAUAUAAUAUAAAAUCUGUAAUCGAAAUUGAUUCCACCUUUUUAACUUGUUUGAUGCUAUUAAUAGCUAUUCGGAACCGCGCUUUGCUGGCCGCGAAAGAAGCGUACAAACUCUAAUACAAAUUACCUACUCAUAGAUAAAUAUUAUUUAUACUUAAACAAAAUUAGUAAAGUUUGAUUGUUAACAAUCAAUGCUGAAAUCUAACCUAACACUUUAACAAGGUGUCUAACAGUCUGAAAAUCUUCUUAUCUUGACACAUGGUGUCUAAACAAAUGAAUCAUCAAACUAGCACUUAAAUGGAGCGAACUGAACUUCAAGCAUUUACCUCAUUGCCAAAAAAUAUGAUAGGUCUACAAGUGUUUUGCCAACGCUGCUUCGCAUAUAGGAUCACUAGCAUUCUUCUCUCCCUGCUAUUCAGCUAAACUCUUUCUUUGGACUUAUAGGGCAUUCAGUACCCAGCUCGUUCUGGAGUUUAACAACAGAGAUGACUUGCUAUCCUAUUACAUCAAUUCUUAGACUGUAAUUGCCUUACACACUCUCAUUAGAAAUUCUCUUUGGACUGUAUAACUGGACCCAGGGAUUUACAGGGAGUCAAGUUCUACCCAACGCAAGCUCCAAGUCAUUCCAUAGAGAAUAUGUUACAAGCACAGCAAUUGUCUGGUGCGUCUAAGCCCCUUAAUUGUUUUUAAAGUUGAACCACUGCUCAAAACCUGCAAUAAAAAAAAUCGAAACAAAAUACACUGUUGAACACUCAACUUAAUUCACAACUUGCUAUCAAUACAGAAUAGCUUCUCCAAAAAAAAAAACUGAAAUUUCUUUACGACCACAAUCUAGGGCCUUUAACUCACAUUCUAACACUUCAUACUAUGAUCAAAAUUUAACUAACUCUAGUACACAUUCUAUAGGUUCAAAUCAAUGGCAACCUGGGCAUGAUUUACAAUCAGUGGGUCUCUUGACCCUGGUGGAACGGCGUAAUUCAGGGCCGUCAAUAUUGUCACCAUUUGCCCUAUUUACUACCUCAGGUGGGUUCCCUAAGGUUGCUGUCUCUCGUGGUUCUACAGUUCUAUGGGAAUAUAGGGGAUACGUUGGAUGUACCCAGUGAUCCUCAUCAUCAGUGAUACUAUCUAUUUGUUCUUGUUUGUUUCCGCCCCCCGUAGGGUAAGUCUUUACCGGUGCAUGAUAGGCCUUCAUUCUGUCUAUGUGAAUCUUGUCCAAGUGCCCCGUCUCCAACUCCUUCAAAAGAUAAACAGUGUCGCCUGUCCUUUGUAGUACCUCAUAAGGUCCUCUAUACCUUGGCUCAAAUUUGUGACGUCCUUUCGUCUCAUGCAUUCUCUUCACCAAAGCUAGAUCCCCAGUCUCAAAGGUCCUUAAUUCUCUAGCUUCAAACUCAGCCCUGGCUUCUUGUUGCUCCUUCAAGUAAGUCUGCCUCACCACCUCUCUCGCCCUUUCAACCUCCUCCACCAAUUCCCGCUCAUAGAAUGCCGCCAUUUCGGUAAUUGAAUCCUCGCAUACAGGACUAAGCUCCUCUUCCUGGAAAGGUUGUGGGAGCCUCAGCUCAUGUCCGAAGACCAGUUUCGCUGGAGUAAAUCCAGUACUAGAGUGUACAGUGGUCCUGAUAGCUAAGGCUACCAUUGGUAAGGUGGUAUCCCAAUUGUUCCCCGCUGUACACCUGCGUAGAGAUUCUAUUACCGUCCUAUUGAGCCUUUCUACGGCGCCAUUACUCUGAGGUCUCCAGGCCGUGGUAUUUACUGCACCAACCCCCAUAGCCUUGCAGACUCCCUUGAAUACGCAACUCAUGAAUGCUGAUCCUCGGUCAGAGAGUAUCGUUUUUGGUACCCCAAAGGUAGUGAUGUUCCUUUCCAACAAGGCCCUAAUCACUGUAUUGGCACACUGGUCCUUAGUAGGAAUCAGGAUUGGGAACUUGGUGAAAAGAUCCACAAUGGUCAGAAUGCUAGAAUAACCCCGUGGGGUUAUUUCUAGGGGUCCUAUGAAGUCUAGAGCUAGGUGCUCAAAGGGUUUUUCGGGUCUAAAGUGGGGAGCACUAGCGGCUUUGGCUAUGCCAUGAUUCGAUAGCUGGCAGCUCUCGCAUCUGCGUAUAUAUUUCCGGACUUGUGUCCUCAUGCCAGGCCAGUAAUAGUCACCUUUCAGCCUUCUCAUAACCUUCCUAACUCCGAAAUGACCCCGAGUAGCGAUGUCAUGAUGAUAGCUGAUCACUGUUUCCCUAAAACCUGUAGGAACCACCUUCACCCAGGUACCCCUUUCAUUCUUUGUAACAAGGUAUUUGUCUAGUAACCUAUAUUCCCGAUUAUUAUACCUCUCCGUGCUAUUUGGUUUUAACUUCGUUAACUUAUCCAUUACUGGGGCCCAUCCUUUCUCUUGAAGUAAACCUUCCCAUAUCUGAUUACUAUUUAAUAAGGGGGGCCGACGGUCUCUUACCACCGUGGCCACUACCCUCCUAUCUUGUGGUAGGUUUGGAUCAUCCUCGCACGGGAACCUACUAAGGAAGUCGGCUAUCGUGUUUUCCUUCCCCGGGACAUAAAUGAAUGUAACGUUGAAGUCCUGGAUGAUCUCUGCCCACCUAGACAGUCGGGCGUUCUUAUAAUCAGACCCCUUAUUAUAAGUAAUCGGUUUAUGGUCAGUAUGUACUUCUACUUUACUGCCCGCCAGGAGGUGUUUAAAGUGUUGUAGGGACAACACUACUGCAUAAGCCUCCUUUUCUAUUGUGGAAUAGCGGAUCUCAGGACCAGUCAGUCUCUUGCUAUAAUAAGCAAUUGGCCUCACUGUCCCUUUGACCUCCUGUUGGAGGCAAGCGCCUACCGCUAUCCCACUGGCGUCAGUGUUCAGGAUGAAAGGAACCCCAAUUGUUGGGUGAAUUAGUAGUGGCUCGCUGGUUAAUAUUCCUUUCACCGUCUCAAAGGCUGACUGCUCUAUCACACCCCAAGCAAAUCUAUGUCCCUUCCUUAAUAGGUUGCUCAGUGGAGCCAGGACCUCACCUGCGUUGGGAAUAAAGCGUCGGUAGUAGUUAACUGUACCCAAUAGACUUCUGACUGCCUUGAUGUUAUGAGGUCGUUUCAAAUUCCUGAGAGCGGCGACAUUAUCCCACAUGGGUUUGAUCCCAUUUUGGUCGAUUACAUGACCCAGGUACUCUACUGAGUCCCUGAAGAGAUAGCUCUUUCCGUAUUUGGCCUUCAAACCGAACUUACUCAGGCGUUCGAGUACAGCGGCGAGGUCCGCCACAUGCUGCUCGUGAGAGUCGCUGUAGACAAUGACGUCAUCGAUGUACAGGCGAACGCAUUUGAACAACAAGUCACCCAGGACCAAGUUCAUGGCCCACUGGAAGACCUGUGCUGAGUUUUUAGCUCCCUGUGGCAAACGUGUGAAUCGAUAUCUCCCCCAGGGCAGAGAGAAGGUAAAAUAAUCUCUGUCACUCUCUGGGAUGUGGAUCUGGAAGAAUCCAGAAGUCAGAUCUAAUGUGCUGAAGACUUUUGCACCUGCAAAUGCGCGCAGAUUGUCUUCGACACGGGGUAUCGGGAACGGGAAGAAUUCAGUUGCCUCAUUGAUCAUACGUAGAUCCAUGGUGAUGCGAACACUACCAUCAGUUUUGGCAACCGGGAAUAGAGGGGAAUUCCACAGAGAGGUGCUCCCCUCUAUUAUCCCUACUUCCUCCAGUUCGUCUACUAACGCUUUCACCUUUGAGACUAGUUUAUUCGGGAUUGGAUAUUGCCUCCUAUAUACUGGCUUGCUAGUCAGCAUCCUCAGUUUAGGGGCUGUGAUGGUGGAGCCAUCCCCCAUAUCUUUUAUAUCAUUGCAGAAGCAAUGACUGAAGGCCCUGAAAAUAUCGUGGCCCAUGUGGAUCUCGUUUAGGGGUAUCCUGGGUGGUUGAGGAGACAUUUCUAUUGUUUGUAGUGAGGAGAGGAAGGCCGACUUGGUCGGAUCCUCCUUCCUUUCGUAGUCGGACCUAAUACUAUCGUCGUAGCUAAGGUGUAGUUUUAGAGCUCGGAAACCUGGUAAUCCGAGUAUGCCAUCAAAUCCUAAUUCCCCCAUGUGACAAUACUCGAAGGUCGUUCUUACUUCCCUAAUGGGCUUACCGUUCACCACUGCCCCUAUUUCUAACACCUCACACCCUAAUGACCUUAAAGAUUUUCCUGAUAUACCUUUAAGGUAAGUAGGCUUGUCUAGUCCCUCAGUGCAUAAAUUUAGAUUGUCAAUAUUUACAAUGUUGGCCUCUGAGCCUGAAUCUAAGAUAAAUUUUAAACACUUCUCGUCCAGAGACCUCCCUUUAUUCAAAAUAUAUACAUUUAUGGCAGGUAAACUGGCCGCAAAUCCCCCUCCUGCCUUGAGGCAAGCCGGACCUAGUUUUUUCUCUGCUUCUGCUGGCAGUCUCGGAUGAGAUGCCCUGGCUCGCCGCACCCGUAGCACUUGGGGGGCGGUCUCCCUGCACCCUGCUUCUUGUGGUCCACUCCAGAGUUCUCCUCCCUUUCACCGUUGGGUCCCCUCCUUUGUUGUCUAGGCGGGGAUGGAUUCCGUUGUUGUCUGGGUGGUUGUUGUGCUGGUCUCCUCUGCCAGUUCCUGAAGGGGGCUCCCCUCCUGUUAUCCUGGGAGUUGUCUCCGUAAUCCCUUCUCCCUGCGGGGUGUGAUGACCACCUUCCUCCCCCGCUAUUUGUACUAUUGGCACUUCUUCUUUGUCCUCUAAGGGCUGCAUUCUCUAUUUCUAGUGCCUCCAUUUUCUUCUCCAGGUCGGCCAAUUUGUUGCCCAUGUCACCCAGCCUCUGGCCGUUCCUGUCGGCGCUGGAGCGCUGCGCCUCCCUAUAGUCUUCCUCCCUCUGUUCCAGCCACUGUAGUUUGCUUACUAGGGUUUCCCAGGGUUCGCCUUGGUAUAGAUGAGCCUUCUCCCACAGGCUGGGGCAGAGUCCGUCGAUGAAAACCUCCGCGAUUUCCGAGGUGCCUAUCUUCAGGCCGUCCGACUCUGCUCCCGCUGCAAGGUCGCUCACCCGCGCGGCGAAGUCUCGUACUUUCUCCCCGGCCCCUUGUCUACAUGAGAAGAACUGGCUUCUCAUCUCCCUUGUAGAGACCCUCUUUCGGAACCUCCCCUCUAGACUCUCCUUCAACUCUUCGUAUCCGAGGCGGAUUUGCUGAGAUUGUAGGGCAAACUCCCUCGCAGCCCCCCGGAGGUGGUUGUCCAAUAGGAUUCUCUUCCUGGCGUCGUCCAGGGCCUUUAGGUCGUAGACAAGCUCGAAGUCCUUUAUGAAUUUGUGAAGGGGACUAUGCCCUUCCCUUCAAACUUCUCCAGGUUGUACAGCAUGGAGGGCAGCUGGGCUUGGCUAGUUGCGGCGUUCUCUUCAUCGGCAGGCAUGGUCCUCAGUUGUUGGAUCUUCAGGAACUAGGUAUUAGUCAUUCACCCUGGUUGUAACUGUAGUAUCAGGACCCAUAGGGGCAGGCGGAGUAGGGAACACAACAGAAAGAAAAAGGGGGGGGGGUCCUUCCUUAAUCAUGUUCCUAAACACUAUGGGGUUCACGUUUCCAAAAGGAAACUGGUAUUCAAUAACAUAGAAACCAUACAUGUAAGUAUGUGUUGAUGUGAACGCAACCAUUGCGUGGUGAAAAUGAAGGUCCUAUAGAAGAAACCCGAGUGAUGUGACCGCAAAACAUUGCGUUGUGGAAAAUGAAGGUUCUAUAAAAGAAACCUGAGUGUGUUGUGAACGCAACCAUCGCGUUGUGAGAAUUGGAGAUUCUAUAAAGGAAACCCGUGUGAUGUGAACACAAACAUCGUGUUGCGAAAAGGACGAAGGUUCUACAAAGAAACCUGUGUGUUGUGAACACAAACAUCGUGUUGCUAAAGGACGAAGGUCCUACAAAGGAAACCCGUGUGAUGUGAACACAAACAUCGUGGUGCUAAAGGACGAAGGUUCUACAAAGAAACCUGGGUGUUGUGAACACAAACAUCGUGUUGCUAAAGGACGAAGGUUCUACAAAAGAAACCCGUGUGAUGUAAGAAAAAAAAUACUCCAAUUUUCAACAGCCUACAGACUUAUUUCAAUCAUCAAGAUAUUCUACUUAUAAACGAGGCCCCUUUGCCAAGAGCUACUUCCCAUAGGCGAUCAUAUGGAGGGAACCUUCAAAAGCUUAAUAUACCAGUAACUAUGACAAAGAUAUCCUCAACCCAAUGCAGGUUAUCUAAUUGACACAACCUGGUUGUUGUGAACACAAACAUCGUGUUGCGAAAAAAAAAAAAAAGGGCGAAGGUUCUACAAAGGAACCUGGGUGUUGUGAACACAAACAUCGUGUUGCUAAAGGACGAAGGUUCUAAAAAAGGUGUUGUGAACACAAACAUCGUGUUGCGAAAAGGGCGAAGGUUCUACAAAGAAACCUGGGUGUUGUGAACACAAACAUCGUGUUACGAAAAGGGCGAAGGUUCUACAAAGAAACCUGGGUGUUGUGAACACAAACAUCGUGUUGCGAAAAGGGCGAAGGUUCUACAAAGAAACCUGGGUGUUGUGAACACAAACAUCGUGUUGCGAAAAGGGCGAAGGUUCUACAAAGAAACCUGGGUGUUGUGAACACAAACAUCAUGUUGCGAAAAGGGCGAAGGUUCUACAAAGAAACCUGGGUGUUGUGAACACAAACAUCGUGUUGCAAAAAAAAAAAGGCGAAGGUUCUACAAAGAAACCUGGGUGUUGUGAACACAAACAUCGUGUUGCUAAAGGACGAAGGUUCUAAAAAAGGUGUUGUGAACACAAACAUCGUGUUGCGAAAAGGGCGAAGGUUCUACAAAGAAACCUGGGUGUUGUGAACACAAACAUCGUGUUACGGAAAAGGGCGAAGGUUCUACAAAGAAACCUGGGUGUUGUGAACACAAACAUCGUGUUGCGAAAAGGGCGAAGGUUCUACAAAGAAACCUGGGUGUUGUGAACACAAACAUCGUGUUACGAAAAGGGCGAAGGUUCUACAAAGAAACUUGGGUGUUGUGAACACAAACAUCGUGUUGCUAAAAGACGAAGGUUCUACAAAAGAAACCCGUGUGAUGUAAGAAAAAAAAUACUCCAAUUUUCAACAGCCUACAGACUUAUUUCAAUCAUCAAGAUAUUCUACUUAUAAACGAGGCCCCUUUGCCAAGAGCUACUUCCCAUAGGCGAUCAUAUGGAGGGAACCUUCAAAAGCUUAAUAUACCAGUAACUAUGACAAAGAUAUCCUCAACCCAAUGCAGGUUAUCUAAUUGACACAACCUGGGUGUUGUGAACACAAACAUCGUGUUGCGAAAAAAAAAGGGCGAAGGUUCUACAAAGAAACCUGGGUGUUGUGAACACAAACAUCGUGUUGCGAAAAGGGCGAAGGUUCUACAAAGAAACCUGGGUGUUGUGAACACAAACAUCGUGUUGCGAAAAGGGCGAAGGUUCUACAAAGAAACCUGGGUGUUGUGAACACAAACAUCGUGUUGCUAAAGGACGAAGGUUCUACAAAGGAAACCCGUGUGAUGUGAACACAAACAUCGUGGUGCUAAAGGACGAAGGUUCUACAAAGAAACCUGGGUGUUGUGAACACAAACAUCGUGUUGCUAAAGGGCGAAGGUUCUACAAAGAAACCUGGGUGUUGUGAACACAAACAUCGUGUUGCUAAAGGACGAAGGUUCUACAAAAGAAACCCGUGUGAUGUAAGAAAAAAAAUACUCCAAUUUUCAACAGCCUACAGACUUAUUUCAAUCAUCAAGAUAUUCUACUUAUAAACGAGGCCCCUUUGCCAAGAGCUACUUCCCAUAGGCGAUCAUAUGGAGGGAACCUUCAAAAGCUUAAUAUACCAGUAACUAUGACAAAGAUAUCCUCAACCCAAUGCAGGUUAUCUAAUUGACACAACCUGGGUGUUGUGAACACAAACAUCGUGUUGCGAAAAAAAAAAAGGGCGAAGGUUCUACAAAGAAACCUGGGUGUUGUGAACACAAACAUCGUGUUGCGAAAAGGGCGAAGGUUCUACAAAGAAACCUGGGUGUUGUGAACACAAACAUCGUGUUGCGAAAAGGGCGAAGGUUCUACAAAUAAACCUGGGUGUUGUGAACACAAACAUCGUGUUGCGAAAAGGGCGAAGGUUCUACAAAGAAACCUGGGUGUUGUGAACACAAACAUCUUGUUGCGAAAAGGGCGAAGGUUCUACAAAGAAACCUGUGUGAUGUGAACACAAACAUCGUGGUGCUAAAGGACGAAGGUUCUACAAAGAAACCUGGGUGUUGUGAACACAAACAUCGUGUUGCGAAAAGGGCGAAGGUUCUACAAAGAAACCUGGGUGUUGUGAACACAAACAUCGUGUUGCUAAAGGACGAAGGUUCUACAAAGGAAACCCGUGUGAUGUGAACACAAACAUCGUGGUGCUAAAGGACGAAGGUUCUACAAAGAAACCUGGGUGUUGUGAACACAAACAUCGUGUUGCUAAAGGGCGAAGGUUCUACAAAGAAACCUGGGUGUUGUGAACACAAACAUAGUGUUGCUAAAAGGGCGAAGGUUCUACAAAGAAACCUGGGUGUUGUGAACACAAACAUCGUGUUGCGAAAAAAAAAAGGCGAAGGUUCUACAAAGAAACCUGGGUGUUGUGAACACAAACAUCGUGUUGCUAAAGGACGAAGGUUCUAAAAAAGGUGUUGUGAACACAAACAUCGUGUUGCGAAAAGGGCGAAGGUUCUACAAAGAAACCUGGGUGUUGUGAACACAAACAGUGUUGCUAAAAGGGCGAAGGUUCUACAAAGAAACCUGGGUGUUGUGAACACAAACAUUGUGUUGCUAAAGGAAGAAGAUUCUACAAAAGAAGCCCGUGUGAUGUAAGAAAAAAAAUACUCCAAUUUUCAACAGCCUACAGACUUAUUUCAAUCAUCAAGAUAUUCUACUUAUAAACGAGGCCCCUUUGCCAAGAGCUACUUCCCAUAGGCGAUCAUAUGGAGGGAACCUUCAAAAGC